GAUGAACGCUGGCGGCGUGCCUAAUACAUGCAAGUCGAGCGAACAGACGCUGAGCUUGCUCCUCUCACGUUAGCCGCAGACGGGUGUGUAACGCGUGUAUAACCCACCUAUCUGACUGAUAUAACUUCGGGAAUCCGGAUCUAAUCCCGUAUAAUCUCUUGCACCGCAGUGUUCAAUGGUAAGAGUCGGCUUUUCUGUCACUUCUCGCUGGUUCUGCGCCGCAUUAGCUAGUUGUUAAGGUAACGGCUUACCAAGGCAACGAUGCGUAGCCGAACUGAGAGGGUGAUCGGCGACACUGGAAGGGAGACACGGUCCAGACUCCUAAGGGAGGCAGCAGUAGGGAAUCGUCCGCAAUAGGCGAAAGCCUGACGCAGCAACGCCGCGUGAGUGAUGAAAGUCUUCGGAUCGUAAAGAUCUGUUAUUAGGGAAGAACCGAUGUGUAAGUAACUAUGCCCGUCGUGACGGUAACUGAUCAGAAAGCAACGGCUAACUACGUG
rnacentral:rRNA from 1 species